UGUACUUUAUGAAUAAGGAUCGGCUAACUCCGUGCCAGCAGCCGCGGUAAUACGGAGGAUCCGAGCGUUAUCCGGAUUUAUUGGGUUUAAAGGGAGCGUAGAUGGAUGUUUAAGUCAGUUGUGAAAGUUUGCGGCUCAACCGUAAAAUUGCAGUUGAUACUGGAUGUCUUGAGUGCAGUUGAGGCAGGCGGAAUUCGUGGUGUAGCGGUGAAAUGCUUAGAUAUCACGAAGAACUCCGAUUGCGAAGGCAGCCUGCUAAGCUGCAACUGACAUUGAGGCUCGAAAGUGUGGGUAUCAAACAGGAUUAGAUACCCUGGUAGUCCACACGGUAAACGAUGAAUAUUCGCUGUUUGCGAUAUACGGCAAGCGGCCAAGCGAAAGCGUUAAGUAUUCCACCUGGGGA
rnacentral:rRNA from 1 species